CACGUAGGGUGCGAGCGUUGUUCGGAUAUACUGGGCGUAAAGCGCACGUAGGCGGCGCAGCAAGUCAGGGGUGAAAUCCCGGAGCUCAACUCCGGAACUGCCUUUGAAACUGCAGUGCUAGAAUCCUGGAGAGGCGAGUGGAAUUCCGAGUGUAGAGGUGAAAUUCGUAGAUAUUCGGAAGAACACCAGUGGCGAAGGCGACUCGCUGGACAGGUAUUGACGCUGAGGUGGCGAAAGCGUGGGGAGCAAACAGG
rnacentral:rRNA from 1 species